ensembl:lncRNA
AAAGGAAAAAGUCUCCUCUGAGGAUACUUCUGCACUAACCUACUUUUCUUCACAGAUCUGAAAUUUCUCUACGGAUAUGGAUCUUUUGACAAAAACCAGAAGGAUCGCGUCCAGAAUGUUACAAUUAAGCUCAGAGGUGCCACUGUUGCAGGAAGUGCAGAGGACGUUAACCAAAUGCUCUGAUUUCUGAGGACCUCAAGUUUGACAAGAAGCUGAAACAACCAUAAAAGACAGAAGGAUGCGAUUUCUUUCCAGAUGAUAUGAGGACUCCCGCAUGUGCUUAAAUGGAAAGGAUCCGAAAUGAUCAGAAUUGGUUGAGCUAUCUAUCCAAUUAUCCCAUAGAAACCCAUAGUUUCCAGUAGACCCCUGAAAGUAUUGCUCAGUUUAGCUGAAUGUCUUUAAUCCACAGAUACAGUCAAUUGUCAUCUUUGUUCAUAUUUCCCAAUGGCAUCAAGGUUUCAGAGAAAAUGGGAAAUAGAUAAAAUUAGAUAGCCAAGCCUUAAAAAGCUAUCAACAUAAGUAUAGUCAUUAAAA